UACGAGGGGGGCUAGCGUUGCUCGGAAUCACUGGGCGUAAAGCGCACGUAGGCGGCUUUUUAAGUCAGAGGUGAAAUCCUGGAGCUCAACUCCAGAACUGCCUUUGAUACUGGAGAGCUUGAGUCCGGGAGAGGUGAGUGGAACUGCGAGUGUAGAGGUGAAAUUCGUAGAUAUUCGCAAGAACACCAGUGGCGAAGGCGACUUACUGGACACAUAUUGACGCUGAGGUACGAAAGCGUGGGGAGCAAACAGG
rnacentral:rRNA from 1 species